CCCGAAUGGGGAAACCCAGUGUGAUUCGUCACACUAUCAUUAACUGAAUCCAUAGGUUAAUGAGGCGAACCGGGGGAACUGAAACAUCUAAGUACCCCGAGGAAAAGAAAUCAACCGAGAUUCCCCCAGUAGCGGCGAGCGAACGGGGAGGAGCCCAGAGCCUGAAUCAGCAUGUGUGUUAGUGGAAGCGUCUGGAAAGGCGCGCGAUACAGGGUGACAGCCCCGUACACAAAAGCGCAUGUGCUGUGAGCUCGAUGAGUAGGGCGGGACACGUGGUAUCCUGUCUGAAUAUGGGGGGACCAUCCUCCAAGGCUAAAUACUCCUGACUGACCGAUAGUGAACCAGUACCGUGAGGGAAAGGCGAAAAGAACCCCGGCGAGGGGAGUGAAAAAGAACCUGAAACCGUGUACGUACAAGCAGUGGGAGCACAGGUUUACCUGUGUGACUGCGUACCUUUUGUAUAAUGGGUCAGCGACUUAUAUUCUGUAGCAAGGUUAACCGAAUAGGGGAGCCGGAGGGAAACCGAGUCUUAAUUGGGCGUUAAGUUGCAGGGUAUAGACCCGAAACCCGGUGAUCUAGCCAUGGGCAGGUUGAAGGUUGGGUAACACUAACUGGAGGACCGAACCGACUAAUGUUGAAAAAUUAGCGGAUGACCUGUGGCUGGGGGUGAAAGGCCAAUCAAACCGGGAGAUAGCUGGUUCUCCCCGAAAGCUAUUUAGGUAGCGCCUCGUGAAUUCAUCUCCGGGGGUAGAGCACUGUUUCGGCUAGGGGGCCAUCCCGGCUUACCAACCCGAUGCAAACUGCGAAUACCGGAGAAUGUUAUCACGGGAGACACACGGCGGGUGCUAACGUCCGUCGUGAAGAGGGAAACAACCCAGACCGCCAGCUAAGGUCCCAAAGUCAUGGUUAAGUGGGAAACGAUGUGGGAAGGCCCAGACAGCCAGGAUGUUGGCUUAGAAGCAGCCAUCAUUUAAAGAAAGCGUAAUAGCUCACUGGUCGAGUCGGCCUGCGCGGAAGAUGUAACGGGGCUAAACCAUGCACCGAAGCUGCGGCAGCGACGCUUAUGCGUUGUUGGGUAGGGGAGCGUUCUGUAAGCCUGCGAAGGUGGCCUGUGAGGGUUGCUGGAGGUAUCAGAAGUGCGAAUGCUGACAUAAGUAACGAUAAAGCGGGUGAAAAGCCCGCUCGCCGGAAGACCAAGGGUUCCUGUCCAACGUUAAUCGGGGCAGGGUGAGUCGACCCCUAAGGCGAGGCCGAAAGGCGUAGUCGAUGGGAAACGGGUUAAUAUUCCCGUACUUGGUGUUACUGCGAAGGGGGGACGGAGAAGGCUAUGUUGGCCGGGCGACGGUUGUCCCGGUUUAAGCGUGUAGGUGUGUGUUCCAGGUAAAUCCGGUUCACUUUAACACUGAGGCGUGACGACGAGGCACUACGGUGCUGAAGCAACAAAUGCCCUGCUUCCAGGAAAAGCCUCUAAGCAUCAGGUAACAUCAAAUCGUACCCCAAACCGACACAGGUGGUCAGGUAGAGAAUACCAAGGCGCUUGAGAGAACUCGGGUGAAGGAACUAGGCAAAAUGGUGCCGUAACUUCGGGAGAAGGCACGCUGACACGUAGGUGAAGUGAUUUACUCAUGGAGCUGAAGUCAGUCGAAGAUACCAGCUGGCUGCAACUGUUUAUUAAAAACACAGCACUGUGCAAACACGAAAGUGGACGUAUACGGUGUGACGCCUGCCCGGUGCCGGAAGGUUAAUUGAUGGGGUCAGCGCAAGCGAAGCUCCUGAUCGAAGCCCCGGUAAACGGCGGCCGUAACUAUAACGGUCCUAAGGUAGCGAAAUUCCUUGUCGGGUAAGUUCCGACCUGCACGAAUGGCGUAAUGAUGGCCAGGCUGUCUCCACCCGAGACUCAGUGAAAUUGAACUCGCUGUGAAGAUGCAGUGUACCCGCGGCAAGACGGAAAGACCCCGUGAACCUUUACUAUAGCUUGACACUGAACAUUGAGCCUUGAUGUGUAGGAUAGGUGGGAGGCUUUGAAGUGUGGACGCCAGUCUGCAUGGAGCCGACCUUGAAAUACCACCCUUUAAUGUUUGAUGUUCUAACGUGGACCCGUUACCCGGGUUGCGGACAGUGUCUGGUGGGUAGUUUGACUGGGGCGGUCUCCUCCUAAAGAGUAACGGAGGAGCACGAAGGUUGGCUAAUCCUGGUCGGACAUCAGGAGGUUAGUGCAAUGGCAUAAGCCAGCUUGACUGCGAGCGUGACGGCGCGAGCAGGUGCGAAAGCAGGUCAUAGUGAUCCGGUGGUUCUGAAUGGAAGGGCCAUCGCUCAACGGAUAAAAGGUACUCCGGGGAUAACAGGCUGAUACCGCCCAAGAGUUCAUAUCGACGGCGGUGUUUGGCACCUCGAUGUCGGCUCAUCACAUCCUGGGGCUGAAGUAGGUCCCAAGGGUAUGGCUGUUCGCCAUUUAAAGUGGUACGCGAGCUGGGUUUAGAACGUCGUGAGACAGUUCGGUCCCUAUCUGCCGUGGGCGCUGGAGAACUGAGGGGGGCUGCUCCUAGUACGAGAGGACCGGAGUGGACGCAUCACUGGUGUUCGGGUUGUCAUGCCAAUGGCACUGCCCGGUAGCUAAAUGCGGAAGAGAUAAGUGCUGAAAGCAUCUAAGCACGAAACUUGCCCCGAG
rnacentral:rRNA from 1 species